CAGGGCUGUCACCCCAUCUGUGGGCGAGAGACAUGAGGGAUGGGAGACAAGUCAAUCAAAAGGACGUAACUGGGGUAGGAGGAGAACUUGGAGGUUAAUGGAGAAUCAUAGCCUCAAGUGUCAGGAAGCCCAGCUCUGGCUCUUGAUUUUAUGUGGCUUUAGUCAAAUGACUUUUCUACUUUUCUCUGUGCUUCAGUUUCCUCAUCUGUAAAAGGAGCCAGUAGGCAUAAUUCUUUAACAUUCUAGGGCAGUGGUUCUCAAACUUGAGUCUGGAUCAAACUUACCUGGAGGGCUGGUUAAAACACAGAUUUCCCAAUAUCUUGAAUUUCUGAGUCAAUAGCUCUGGAGUGGAGCCUGAGAAUUUGUAUUUCUAACAAUUUCCCUGGUGAAACUGAUUCUUCUGUCUGGGGACCACACUUUGAGAACCACAAUUCUAAGGCACUAACUCUAAGGCCCACGGGUAUCCACGUCAGGGACAUCCAUCUCAUAUUCCUGGGGAGGAGUCAGCAUGGCUGCCUGGGGGAGCUCCUGACAGUCACCCCUCAGAGGACAGAGCUGGCACUUGGAGGGAAAGAGUCUUUCCCAGAGCCUGGGUUCAUCCUCACUCUUACUUGAGGCCGAUGCUAUCUUCACCCAGGGGAGGCCGGCGUCUGCGGGGAGUGGGCUGAGUUCGAGGCCUUCGAAUGAACCCAGGGGGCAGCCAGAGGGCCCCAUGCUCACGGCGCCGCCGCCGGAUGAGCUGAAGGACGAGAAGAGCCCCAAGGGCCAGGAGGAGCACCCCAGCCACUGCUUCCUGAUAUCGGGUUGGUCACUAUACCCCUGGGGAGACCUGUCUCCCUUAAAAGUAACUUGGAGUUUUGGCAUUCUGGAAAAUGGGACCUGUCGUUGUUGGUGGGAGUAUUGCAGGCUGGCCCUGCUGAGCAGACCUGAGACACAGUGUCCUUCCAAAUUUGGUGGCCUUUCCUUGGUGGGGAGGAGAAAAGCAGCUGGCCUCCAGACUCGGCACCUUGCUGUGCCACCACCGCUGUGUGCCCUCAGCUGGCAACUGAGGAUGCAGAGAGCUUAACUACCUGAUGCAAGGGCGCGCAUCUCAUCGGUGGCAGAGCUGGCAGUGGACACGUGGGCCGCUGCUCUGAAGCACAAGGCCUGGCAAGUUGCCACUGACAGUCCUCCUUGUUGUCACACCACGAGAGGCUGGUCUCCCACCCCCAAAUCCUCAGAAUUACCCAGGCACUCAAAAUAUCUGCAUGCCUGGGCCCACCCCAGACCCACUAAAGCAGCCUUUCUGGGAUGUGGGCACCAGUAUGUUGCAGGCUUUUCAGGUGAUUGCUGUGCCUUGCCACGUUUGAGAAGCCUUGCUCUUCUAGUCCACCCCUCACAGAUCACUUUCCUCCCCGUGUGGUCUUCACUGCCUUGUCCAGUCCCCUCCCUCCUGGUAGAUCAGAGGAGCCUUCCUCUCCAGGGGCUUUCACCUCUGUCCCAUACCCCUGACUGCUUCCCCGGGCUAGGACGCCCUGCCCACCAGGACGAGGUCCCACACCCUCGUCCCCGGGUUGCACCCCUCUUCCUUGCCUUGAUACCCGUUCCUCUCUCUGGGUCAGAUCCCUUCCACCCCCAUUACACCUCCCACCACCACAGUCUUUCCAGGUGCUGUUAUGGGCUCCUACUUGGAAGAAUAAAGGCCAGAUGCCCAUUAUGCAGAAUCUAGGAGGUUCCCCUCUCCCUGCCUUGUGCUAGGCAUUAACCCUCUAGCUACUGGGUCGAGGGGCCAGGCUGGGGCACUAAGGAGGCUAUGGCAGUAGCCAUUUACUAACGGGUUUGAAAACACUUCAACGUUUUAACCAUUGGUACAGCCAUGCUGGUGAAUGUGUCUCGGGUCAAUGGUCAGCAAGAGGGCUUGUUGAUUCUCACAGCCUCUGUCCUCAAAGGGGCUGGCUGUUUUGCAGACUCCAGUUCCAUCUUUCCCACCCCACUUCCCAGUCCAGUGUUCCUGCCUGUCCCGUCCUCCCCACCACUGCAGUGCUCACCUGUCCAUCCAGGCAGACAGGAACAUCGCGGGCGGCCUGAGGCCUGGAUAUGGCAGCGGCCCAUUUUGGAACAGAAGGAAGAACAGGGGUCCUUGAGUUGGGCCUGGCACCUGUGGCCAGUGAAGCCAGAGGGGCAGGUGCAGGAGAAGCUGGGGGCCAAGGGAGAGGGAAGGCUGGGGGAGCCUGGGAGGGCGGGAAGCAGAGCUUGGCAGCUGCCCCCAUUCUGGCAGAGCUGGGCAUCCUGGCAGGGGUCAGGAAACUGGCAUGUCUCACCCAGGAAGCCAGGGGCACACCUGAGCAGGGGAGGAGAGUGGAAAACUUAAGUCACUGGGUCCUCUUUGCCUUCUCUCCCACCUCCCUUCCUUUGCCUUCAUUUGUUUCCCUUUAGUGCCUUUACCUCCUCCCUUUCUCCUUCCUUCCCAGUCCCUCCUCUUCCCCAGCUCUCCCUCCCCAUUUCUGGUCUCCCACUCCCAGGAGAACUCACUGGCAGCUCCCUUGUCCCUGAGAUAGGCUCAGGCAGGUGCCUCCGUUGGCACAGGGUUCUGGGAAGUCCCCACACCGAAGCACUAGGGAUGGAGAUGAGGAAGGCAUAGGAGUGGGGAGCGCUGUGCUCCCAGAUUUCUCUGGGUGCUUUGCUGCCUGCAGCAGCCCCACACGUGCUGUCAGCCACCACCACUUCUGCACUUGCCUGAUCCCUACCGGAGUGGUGCUCUUGCCCUGGCAUUGCCCCGCCCCCAUCCCAGGCCUGGGGAUCCUCUCAGCUCCUAAUCCCCACCCCCUUUCCUGUUUAUUAGCCAGCCUUCCAAGUCCAGCCUCAGGCUCCAUCCCUUGGAAUGGAGACAACAGGGCUCAGGAGGGGGGCCCAGGGGACUCCUGGAAGGUGAAUGGCUGAGACAUUGAAGGGAUUUCCUCCCGGAAGGGCCCAGCAUUGAGCCAUCCGGGGGGUGGGGACAGCUGGACCGGGAAAGGGACUUGGUCAGCCCUUGACCUUCCCAUGUCUCCAUCUCCUGCUUUGUUCUCAUCGCCUUCCCUAGCAGGUGGCCAGUCUUUUCCCCUCUUUACCUCCUAAAUGUGAUUGCAAGAGCCUGCUGUCCACCAGCACUAAGGCCAACUGGGUUCUCCCUGAGGCGGGCACCCUCCCAUCCAUUCCCCAGACAGUCACCGCCCCUGGCACAGGCCCCAAAGCCUUGGUUUGUGCAGCUGCAGCAGCAGCAGAGUCUUCUCUCCCUGCAUUUGGGGGGUGAUGGUGGUGAGAUUCUCUUCCACCCAGUGUCCUCUCAAAGCAUGGGGCUUGGCCUUCCGCCCCCAACCCAUCAACACCCUCUUAAGGAAGAUGGGUCCCAUCACCUCUCCUACCCCAUGCCUCACCUCUGGUCUUGACGACUGAGUGACACAGCAGCAGCAGCAGCAGCAGUGAAGGGGGCUGCAUUCCAGAGCACCGCCCCACACCCAGAUCCUCUGCCUCCUCAGGCAAGGACCCUCAGAGCCCUCACCGAGGCAGGAGCCACCUCCUCUGCUCCCACGGCCCCUUCCUCCUCCUCUGCCCACUGCAAGCCUCACGUCUGAGCUGUUUCCUGAGUCACACAAUGUCCUGGACACCCUAGUGAUGGGAGGGGGAGGAGUGGAACAACAUUGAGGGGGAUGAGGGAGGGGCCUUCUGUCCCUGACAACCCCUGGGGAGAGGGGGAGUGGGAUGGUGUGGCAGGUGAACAGGACCGGAGCACCGGGCUGGGGGGUGGGUUCUGGGUUCAGUUCCAGCCCUUCUGUUGUUGUGUGGUCUCCCCUUUCUAGAGAUGAGAAUGACAAGGUGGCUUACCCUUGCCCUGGGAAGGUCAGGGCCUGGAACAGAGGUGUGGGGUGCUGAGGCAUCUUCUGUUCCAGUUUACUCAUUUUGGGCCAGGAAUACCACCAACGUGAGGCUAUAGCCUUCUCAACGCAGCACACCAGAAGACACAUGGGCUAACAUCAUUCUUAAUGGUUGGCAAGUAUCCCACUGCUUGAUGAACCCUCGUUCAUUGAAUCCAGUUUCCCAUUGUGGGGGCAUUUAGUUGGAUCUCAAUCCUUAAAAUUAUGGUAAGGCAUGCUGCAGUAAAUAUUCUUGAGCAUACAUAUUUGCAUGGUUGCCUAAGUGAUUCCAUAGGCCGAAUUCCUAGAAGUGAAACCACUGAGUCAAAGCGUCAAAGGUUAGGCUUAUUUUGAAAGGUUUUGGUAUCUAAGUGUUGCCGAGUUAUUCUCCAGAAAGCAGCACAGGACCGCACCUGGGCCGUAGUGUCUGUGCAUGCCCUUAUUCUCGCCGACGCUGCUGAUCAGAAUCGGAAUACCUACCACUUUGACAGGUGAAAUGGUGUCUCAUUGUUUUCAGUUGUGCUUGUUGGAGAGCUGACAUUAUUUUCAUGUAUUUAGUGGCUAUUCUUGUUUCUUCUUCGUGAGUUUCCUGUGUGUGUUUCUGUCCCGUUGUCCUGUUUAUGUCAUUGCCACUUUCCCAUCAUCUUUGUUAGUUGGUGGCAGCUCUGAGGAUGGAGUCUUGGGCACAAGAAACCUAGUGUGAAAAGUCUCUCCUUUUGCUACCUUCUGGUUUGUUGACUGGUUGACGGGGUGAGAUUUGAUGUUUGUGAGAAGGGAAAGGAAAAUAAGAAGGGACACUACGCUUCUCUCGGAACUAUGAAGACCUGAGUGGAAAAAAUGAAACUCUCCAUUUCUUCCAUAUUCUUGACCCCAUAUUUUGUGUGUGUGUGUGUGUGUGUGUGUGUGUGUGUGUGUGGAAAAGGAGGCUAGUGCACUAGGCCGCAGCUUGAGACAAUGAAAGGAUAACAGAGACAGAAAGGGAGUGGUUGGGUAGAAGGGGGACCUGGGGUGUGAUAGGGCAGAAGCUGAGUUUAAAGACAGUGUCAGUGGGGUGUAUGGGUGGCUCAGAUAGUUAAGUGUCCAAAUCUUGAUUUCAGCUCAGGUCAUGAUCUCGUGGUUCAUGAGCCCAAGUACUGUGUCGGGCUCUGCACUGGUGGCUUGAAGCCUGCUUGG